rnacentral:rRNA from 1 species
CGCCUGUUUAUCAAAAACAUCGCCUCUUGUAUAACCACAGAUAAGAGGUCACGCCUGCCCUGUGACUAUAUGUUCAACGGCCGCGGUAUUUUGACCGUGCAAAGGUAGCGCAAUCACUUGUCCUUUAAAUGGGGACCUGUAUGAAUGGCAUGACGAGGGCUUAACUGUCUCCUUUUUCAAGUCAAUGAAAUUGACCUCCCCGUGCAGAGGCGGAGAUUAACACAUAAGACGAGAAGACCCUAUGGAGCUUUAGACGCAAAGCAGACCCUGUCAAAACCCCUUGAAUAAAAGAACAAACUAAGGGAAUACUGCCUUGAUGUCUUUGGUUGGGGCGACCGCGGGGAAAUGCAAAACCCCCGCAUGGAAUAAAAGAAUCCUUUUAGAGACAAGAGCUACUGCUCUAAUAAACAGAACAUCUGACCAGCGAAGAUCCGGCCAAGCCGAUCAACGAACCAAGUUACCCUAGGGAUAACAGCGCAAUCUCCUUUUAGAGCCCAUAUCGACAAGGGGGUUUACGACCUCGAUGUUGGACCAGGACAUCCUAAUGGUGCAGCCGCUAUUAAGGGUUCGUUUGUUCAACGAUUAAAGUCCUACGUGAUCUGAGUUCAGACCGG